AGGAAACUUCUGAACCACAGGUCUUGUGGACUAAAGUAAAACGACUUUCUCGACCCUCUAUAGCUAUAUAGCUACUUAACUCUGGGGUUGCUUUUCAGCCCAAAAAAAGGAAAAAAAGAAAAAGGAAAGAAACUUGGUGAUUACUACUUACUAGUGCAUUCCUUAUUCACUGGGACAGUGGCUUGAGUUAGAGGUGGAGGAGGUGCAAUGCGAGGGCGCAGAUAAUUCAUAUGAACAGAGAAAAGGAGUGGAAACUCAACAGGUCUAAGUAAAGCUACGCCUCGGUGUUUUUGUAACUGAUGCACAGGAUGAUUGCAUGAGAUGAAGGACCCAGACCUCCAGCUUCAGUGGUGAUAAGGUCAAAGACAAUUCAUUGCUUCGGCGACCGUUUUAACAAUUGCAUUCUUCUCACUGCAUGGAAUAAGGACAAGGUGCGCCACGACCCGUCAGUCCCUUGCAAAUCUUUAGAUAUGGAAACGGAUGGUUGUGCUGGACACCAAGGAGUCUGAACUUUUUGCAAAAUCAGUCUUCAUACUUCUUCCUGUAUAUAUUUGUGAACUAAGAAGCAUCAUCUGAUAAUCACUUCUGUAGAAGAGGGUUGAUGGGUUUAGAAUUCCCGAAUUUUUGGGAAUAUCACUUUCAAAUUGAGGAUAAAGUGUGAUUUGCUUUUUCAUCAAGUUUGGUGAAAGACAAAUAAUCUGGCCAUUAUACCAAAACGAAUGUCCAACCACUUCUACUAGAGUAUGAUGGACUGUUACUUCUAAUGUGUCGUUGAUGACCACGAGUCCUCGACCGUUCUUUUCGAAAGACAAAAUGAAGAUGGGUGUUCGAGCAGAGUUAUGGUGCUGAAAUAGGAACAGUGGGUCAUAUGAAGCAAUUGACAUACUCCGAUUAAGUGAAGGAAUAUUACCUAAUUCCAUUUGUAGAAUCUACUUUGCUGCUCUAGAAUUGUAGUAUUCUGAAGAUAUAAGUCAGUCAAAAUUGAGCACGAUCUACAAUGAUUCAUUACCUUCUAAUGUUUUGAUUA